CCACCCGACCGCCCGACACAGUGGAUCCACAUCUCGGCGGCUGCAUCCCUUCUCUCUCUCUCCGCAGCGGCGACCGGAGCCGAAAUGGUGGCCGCCGUCGGCUCUCCUUCGCCGGCACCGCCGCCGGCUGCGGCCCGCCCUCACCCGACCUACAAGGAGAUGAUUACGCAGGCGCUGCGUCAAAGGGGCGGAUGCAACCGCCUCGCCAUCGCCACGUACAUCGCCGACCACUUCUCCGGCCUCCCUGCCAGCCACGACCUGCUCCUCUCCGCCCACCUCCGCCGCCUCCUCUCCGAGGGCGUCCUCCGCAUGUCUGGAUACUACUUCUUGUUAGCCUCCUCCUCCGGCUCAGAUCCGCAGGAUCCUCAAAUCCCAGCCCCCGAAAUCAGCACCACUCCUGCUCCUGCUCCUGCUCCUGCUCCUACUGAGAAGCGGGGACGUGGACGGCCUCGCAAGUAUCCCCGUCCUGAUGUGCCUCCGUCUUCCUCUGCUCAGCCGCCUGUGAAGCGGGGACGUGGGAGACCGCGUAAGCAUAAGAAUGUUUCUGGAGUGAAGUUGGGGACUGAUGAGCCUGUGCUGGGAGUGAAGCGAGGCCGUGGACGCCCACGUAAGAAUCCACAAUUCCUGACUACUGCACAGCCAGGGAGACUGCACAUGCUUGCAGCAUCUGUUGCUGCCAUAGCAAGCAGGCGCGAGGCUACGGUGACAGAUCCUGCCAUGCCGAAUGUGAAGCGCGGUCGUGGUCGUCCGCGCAAGAGUAUUGCCUCCACGGGUGCUGCGCUGGGUUCCUCGCACAAUGCUGUGGCCGGUGCCGGUGUGGUUGGUGCCAGUCAGGGAUUAGGGCAGUCUAUGACGUAUGCUCACAGCAGCAUUGCUACUCCUGCAAUGCCUUUGCUUGGGAAGAGAAAACGUGGACGCCCUAGAAAGGAGAGACCAUCACAACCUGGGUCUGUGCUGUCUGGGGAUGCUUCGGUGACUAAGAGAGGGCGUGGGAGGCCAAGAAAGGAGAAUGCACUGGAAGCUGUGCCGACGGAAGCUGGAGGUGCUGUGGUGACAGAGAUGACUGAAGGCGGGGAUAAGGCCGAAGGUGUUUCUUCUGCACAGGAGAGAGGGCCUGGGAGUCCAAGAAAGGAGAAUACACCGGAAGUUGUGCCUACGGAAGCUGGAGGUGCUGCGGCGACAGAGAUGACUGAAGGCGGGGGUAAAGCCGAAGAUGUUUGUUCUGCACAGAAGAGAGGUCGUGGUAGACCAAGAAAGGCAAGUACACUGGUAGUUGGGCCGAUUUCUUCUGCACAGAAGAGACGUCGUGGUAGGCCAAGAAAGGAGAGUAGAGUGGAAGUUGGACCAACGGAAGCUGGAGGUGCUGCUGUGACAGAGAUGACUGAAGGCGGGGUUAAGGCUGUAGGUGUUUCUUCUGCACAGAAGAGAUGGCCUGGGACGCCAGGAAAGGAGAAUACAGCAGAAAUUGGGCCAACGGAAGCUGGAGGUUCUGUGGCGACAGAGAUGACUGAAGGCAGGGAUAAUGCCGAAGGUGUUUCCUCUGCACAGGAGAGAGGAACUGGGAGUCCAAGAAAGGAGAAUACACCGGAAGUUGUGCCAACGGAAGCUGGAGGUGCUGUGGUGACAGAGAUGACUGAAGGCGGGGGUAAAGUCGAAGAUGUUUCUUCUGCACAGAAGAGAGGUCGUGGUAGGCCAAGAAAGGCAAGUAGACUUGUAGUUGGGCCGAUUUCUUCUGCACAGAAGAGAGGUCGUGGUAGGCCAAGAAAGGAGAGUAGAGUGGAAGUUGAACCAACGGAACCUGGAGAUGCUGCUGCCACAGAGAUGACAGAAGGCGGGGUUAAGGCCGAAGGUGUUUCUUCUGCACAGAAGAGAUGGCCUGGGACGCCAGGAAAGGAGAAUACAUCAGAAGUUGGGCCAACGGAAGCUGGAGGUUCUGUGGCGACAGAGAUGACUGAAGGUGGGGGUAAGGCUGAAGGUGUUGUUUCUUCUGCACAGAAGAGAGGGCGUGGUAGGCCAAGAAAGGAGAAGCCAUCCGGAACUGCACCUGCAGAAAUAGGAGUUGCUGCAUUGAUGGAGAAGAGAGGGCGUGGGAGGCCAAGAAAGCAAAAGCCAUCGGAGAGGGUGGGGAUGUCAGUUGAAAGUAGCGAUGAUAGGUCACCGAGAAUCAAGAGAGGGUGUGGAAGGCCAACAAUGGAGAGGCCAUCAGUGGUGGAGAGGAGAGAGCAUGCUGCGUCAACGGGAAUCAAGAGAGGGCGUGGGAGGCCAAGGAAAGACAUAUCCAUUGGGUUUGUAGAAGCUGCCGGUAAGUUGUCUAGAGAUUUGGCAGAAGCUAGUCCUGGAGAAGAUGAGGAUUUGGUAUCAAGGGAGAAAACACAGACUGAAGGUGUAGCUUUUGGGGAUUUGAUUGAAACUAGGCUUGCAGAUGCUAGUUGUGUGCUGGUUUCUGGAGAGAAUGCAGCAAGUGCACCUUCGGAGGCUGGAAGUGCAAUUGACUCGAAUCUGGUCCCUGUGAAUCUGUAGUUCAGCCGCCGCCGCCGCCGCCGCAGCAAACAAGGGAGGAUCUCCAAGGUGCGAUUUAGCUGAUGAGGCAGCAGCAAUGUGGUGUUGACAAGAUAAAACUAAUUUCUUUAGACUUCAGAAAAUGUAAGAUCAUCUUCCAGGCUUCCAGCCUCUGCAUGGAACAAAUAUUCUUCAGGACAUCCGAGGAGUGACCAGCACGGCAUUGCUACUCUAGAUAAAAACUCGUUGGAUUUACAAGGCUGCUUGGGGUAAAAUUUGACAGGGAUGUAUUAUUGGUUUUUGUUUUGUGCCAUGUGUUUUAUCUCAAGUAAUUGCAUCCAUUCGUUCUCCGUCUGUUUGUGCUUUGGGGGGGGGGGGGGGGGGGGGGGUACUGCUGUUUUUUCUUCUUCUCAAGGGACCGUAUCCUUUGCUGAAGUUCAUUGUAACGUUUCUCCUUGGUGGUCUGGAGAUGAUGAUUCGAUCUGAUACCUAUGGAUGGGUGGAUGGAUGGAUUACAGUAAAAUAUACUAUUCUUUUCGUUUGUAAAUAUGAGAUGAGAUGUUUCUAACUU